AUUCCAUCUUUCAUUAGCUAGAUCAAACCCUAAUUGCUCUCUCAACCGAAUGGUGAUUUCCCGUGAAAUCCAUCAAGACCAAUCAAAUCGUUCAUCUUAUUAUCUUCUCCUAUUUCUUAGAUUUAGGGUUUUUAAUGGAGAUUUAUAUACCUGGAAAUUCAGAAGAUGUAGGAGGCUAUGUGGUUGUAUCUAUUGUGGAUAGUUUUGCUGCAAGUGAAAUUUCAACGAGACUUGUACUAUCAAAAGCAAAAGCAAUUUUUACUCAGGUGAGAGUUCAACUAGGUCAGGAUCUACAAGUCGUCUCACAAAGCUAUGUUGAAGAACGACGAAAUUGGUGCCUUCCAUAUGGUUUGCUCUCUUCAUGGUCCUUUAGUUUUGAAAUGGUUAACAAGUGCGUGUGUGUGCACGCGCGCGCGUGUGUGUUUUCUUUUUUGAUUUGAUAAUUACUAAAGAAGAUUUUGAUGAUUAGAUUAUAAUUUUAUUAGUAUAUGUACUAUCUUAUUGCGAUUAAAGACACAAUCAUUAAUUUUACACCUGCGUAAUGUCUUGUAUAAUCAUUUUAUGCUGGUGUUUAGAUAUUGCUGUAAUCCCCAUCUCCAAUCUAUCAGUUUAUUGGUUCAAGUAAGCUUUGAUUCAGUAGGCUUUCGUUUAUGCUCUGUCUCUUUCAUCUCACGUUCAUUGUUGCUCUGAUAAACCCUAAAAUCACAACCAUCUUUUUUCUAUUUAUCGAUUUCAAAAGGUAAGGUUUUUAUUCAUUCACUUGAAGCAAAGUUCAUCCAGGUAUAUCAUCGAAUGUUUUGACGUUUUUGUAGGUUUAAUUUCAAUUUUGAAGUGAAGAGCUAUGCAAAUCGGAAUCCACUUCCAAGGUUUAUAAAUCAAUCAGCAUUUGAAGCUUCAUCCGGACAUUUUUGCAAUGAAGAGCUAUGCAUGUCUUGAAGUUGGAAAUGUGACUUCUGAUCAACUAUUAAAAUAAAUAGGUCGACUAAUAAUCUUUGCAACCUUUGCUGUGAGUAUAUUGGAUUUUUGUUUACUUUAGAGUACAAGUUCCAUAGCCUUUAUACGACUGGUCUACUGGUAGUCAUUUUCUCUUUUGGUAUCCUCAUUACUUCAACGAGGACCGGAUGCAAUAGGUUUUGGUGUUAUAGUACAGGUAAAUCAUACGAGACUUAUAUCUUAAUAUAACAAUUCAUGUGCCUUUUAAUAUUGUUUUAGGUAGAACAAUUUUUUUAUUUACAUGAUUUAUAGGGUCUUUGUUUUUUAGGUAAUUUUAAAUUAUAUAUUUCUUAUCAAAAAGAUUGAAAGCUCAAUAAAGUUUUUGUGUCUUUUGGUCAUAUUUUCAAUUAUAUAUGUAACUGGUCACAUGGAUUCAAUAAAAACACUAGCCUAUAAUGAAACAUGUCAAGUGGGUCAGACUGGUUGAAAGUCUGUUAAAAUGUAUUUUUCAUGCGUACAACCUCCUAAAUCAUUUUCUCUAUAACUUUAGAAUAUCAUUGUAAUAAUAUAAUUUUCGCAUACUUAUUUAGCGCUAUCAUUUUUUACAAGUAAUUUUAGAAAAUGGAGUAGCUGGCCUAUUUUGACCUAGACCACAAGUUUUGUCUGUUUUGACUUUUGAUUCAAAACUGUUUUAACCCGUUACCUGUCAUGUGCUCAUCGCUUUUACUUUGCCCAUUACCCGGCAACUGAAAGUUUUUGAAUUUUGUAAUGGUGUAGCUAAUCUUUAUUUUCCCACAGAACCAUUGAUGGUGUGUGAAGUAGAUGAACAUGAUGACUAAUGUUAAUAUGUCAUCCUUUUAGUCAUGCUUCCACAAGAUGCUUGUGAAAAUUUGAAACAAAGUCUUCAGGAAAAAAAUAAAUGGCAGCGUUCAUUGAAUGCUUUAUUGAAAUUAUUAACUGAGAAUAAUAUACCUUAAAUUAAUUUGGAAGUUUCCAUGUUUUCCACAGUUUAUGUGCAGCUAUACACUCCAAAACGCCCAUCGGUUGAUGUUGCUGAGGUGUUUUUGGCUUAUGAAUGUUGGUACCAUUCUAUGUGCAUCUUAGUGGUCUGCCUGGAGGCCGAAGCAGCUAUUGAGCUGGACAAACUAUUAAAGGAUGCUUCUAAUGAAUAUAUGAGUACGGAGGUUUCUUAUUUCAGUGGUGUCUUUGAGAUUACCAACACAUCAGUGAUUGUGUUUAUUGUGGUUUCAUCAUGUUUCUUAGUUUGGCUUUACAAAAACAUGUCAUACGUGUUCAUUGAGGUUUUGGUUGUCCUAUUCGCCAUUGGUGGGGGCGAGGUAUGUACUCAUUCGCAUAAGAAAAAAAUUAUUUUCUUUGAUUUUGACUUUAAUAAAUUGAUGAGCUCUAUUUUCUUUUUCUCUUUCUCGGGGUCUGCAAACGUGCUUGGUGGCUUUAUUAGCAUGGUAUAUAUGUAAUACAUAUCAGCGGUGGAUUAGAAUACAAUUUAUCUAUUGCUUCAUCUAGAAAUUUCAAUAAAUGCAGUUUCAGAUCGUUUGAGAAUGUUGCAAAGUCAUUUAUCAAAAUCCCCUUUUUAGGAGGGUGUUGCUUUGAUAAUCACAGUAAUCCAGAUAAUUCAAGUUCCUAAUCUCAAGCUGCAGAUUCAGUAGACAGCAGUUGGUUGCCUGCAGCAAUAGAUAGUUUAAUGCCGUUGGAGGCUGGGAAGAUCUGGUAGUUUCAAGGCACUAUUGGGAGCUAUUAUUUUCUCACAAUGACACAAAAAAGAUUAUAUUAUAUUGUUAUGCAUCAGCAACAUCAAGUCUGGGACCACCAGUUGUGAAAGUUAGCUUAUUAAGUAGUGCUAUAAAGUUGUUAAUUUUAUUUUUCUUUCGUUGGAAAA